ensembl:lncRNA
AUGUUCCUGUGUUUUACCAGCCAGUUUAAUAGGUACAACACCAUGUUCACAAAAGUGGAUCACAACGGCAGCAGGCACAACGGCAGCAGACAACGGCAGCAGACACAACGGCAGCAGACACAACGGCAGCAGACACAACGGCAGCAGACACAACGGCAGCAGACACAACGGCAGCAGACACAACGGCAGCAGACACAACGGCAGCAGACACAACGGCAGCAGACACAACGGCAGCAGACACAACGGCAGCAGACACAACGGCAGCAGACACAACGGCAGCAGACACAACGGCAGCAGACAUACGGGCAGCAGACAUACGGGCAGCAGACACAACAGCAGCAGACAUACGGGCAGCAGACACAACGGCAGCAGACACAACGGCAGCAGACACAACGGCAGCAGACACAACGGCAGCAGACACAACAGCAGCAGACACAACAGCAGCAGACACAACAGCAGCAGACACAACAGCAGCAGACACAACAGCAGCAGACACAACAGCAGCAGACACAACAGCAGCAGACACAACGGGCAGCAGACACAACGGGCAGCAGACACAACGGCAGCAGACACAACGGCAGCAGACAACGGCAGCAGACACAACGGCAGCAGACACAACGGCAGCAGACACAACGGCAGCAGACACAACAGCAGCAGACAACGGCAGCAGACACAACAGCAGCAGACACAACGGCAGCAGACACAACGGCAGCAGACACAACGGCAGCAGACACAACAGCAGCAGACACAACAGCAGCAGACACACGGGCAGCAGACACAACAGCAGCAGACACAACAGCAGCAGACACAACAGCAGCAGACAUAACAGCAGCAGACACACGGGCAGCAGACACACGGGCAGCAGAUACACGGGCAGCAGACACACGGGCAGCAGACACACGGGCAGCAGACACACGGGCAGCAGACACACGGGCAGCAGACACACGGGCAGCAGACACACGGGCAGCAGACACACGGGCAGCAGACACACGGGCAGCAGACACACGGGCAGCAGACACACGGGCAGCAGACACAACAGCAGCAGACACAACAGCAGCAGACACACGGGCAGCAGACACAACAGCAGCAGACACAACAGCAGCAGACACACGGGCAGCAGACACAACAGCAGCAGACAUACGGGCAGCAGACACAACAGCAGCAGACACAACAGCAGCAGACACAACAGCAGCAGACAUACGGGCAGCAGACACAAUGGCAGCAGACACAAUGGCAGCAGACACACGGGCAGCAGACACAACGGCAGCAGACACAACGGCAGCAGACACAACGGAAGCAGACACAACAGCAGCAGACACAACAGCAGCAGACACAACAGCAGCAGACACACGGGCAGCAGACACACGGGCAGCAUUUUACGUCAGAAUGGGCUAA